rnacentral:lncRNA from 1 species
UACUGUAAGUCAAUAUCUUCUAUAGUGGAUCUCUACUGGCUUGUGCCCGGAGUUUUUACCCAGUUGGGUUUUCUCCGUCAACAUUUUGUGGCGUUUUUACUGGUUUUUGUUAUUUACUUUUCAACCGAAAAUUCAACUUAGGUAGAUAAAGUAUGUGAAUGAAUCUGGACAAUGCAUAAUUUAUGUGACUUGUUGCAUAAGUUAAUUAAUUGCCUUAAUUCCGCAUAAACACCUAUUCACCCCCC